ACAAACUUGGUCAUUUAGAGGAAGUAAAAGUCGUAACAAGGUUUCCGUAGGUGAACCUGCGGAAGGAUCAUUAUUGAAUAAACUUGGUAGGUUGUAGCUGGCUCCUUGGAGCAUGUGCACGCCAACCAUCUUUAUCCAUCCACCUGUGCACUUUGUGUAGUCUUGGGAGACAUUAGAGUCUUUAAAGCUGGACCCCUCUCGAUGAAUUCGGAUAUGAUGGUUGCCGUUGUGAUAACACCGGCUCUCAUCAACAGUGGGCUUGUCUCUUAUUCUCUCAAGGUCUAUGUCUUUUUCAUACACCACUUAGAAUGUCAUAGAAUGUAUAUCAUGGGCCUAUGUGCCUAUAAACAUAUAAUACAACUUUCAGCAACGGAUCUCUUGGCUCUCGCAUCGAUGAAGAACGCAGC
rnacentral:misc_RNA from 1 species